GACGUAGGUGGCAAGCGUUGUCCGGAGUUAUUGGGCGUAAAGCGCGCGCAGGCGGUUCGCUAAGUCCAUGGUGAAAGCGCUCGGCUUAACUGAGCGAGUGCCGUGGGGACUGGCGAGCUGGAGGGGAGCAGAGGCGAGUGGAAUUCCGGGUGUAGUGGUGAAAUGCGUAGAGAUCCGGAGGAACACCAGUGGCGAAGGCGGCUCGCUGGGCUUUUUCUGACGCUGAGGCGCGAAAGCGUGGGGAGCGAACAGG
rnacentral:rRNA from 1 species